rnacentral:rRNA from 1 species
CCUACGGGGGGCAGCAGUCGAGAAUCAUUCACAAUGGGGGAAACCCUGAUGGUGCGACGCCGCGUGGGGGAAUGAAGGUCUUCGGAUUGUAAACCCCUGUCAUGUGGGAGCAAAUUAAAAAGAUCGUACCCCAAGAGGAAGAGACGGCUAACUCUGUGCCAGCAGCCGCGGUAAUACAGAGGUCUCCAGCGUUGUUCGGAAUCACUGGGCGUAAAGCGUGCGUAGGCUGUUUCGUAAGUCGUGUGUGAAAGGCGCGGGCUCAACCCGCGGACGGCACAUGAUACUGCGAGACUAGAGUAAUGGAGGGGGAACCGGAAUUCUCGGUGUAGCAGUGAAAUGCGUAGAUAUCGAGAGGAACACUCGUGGCGAAGGCGGGUUCCUGGACAUUAACUGACGCUGAGGCACGAAGGCCAGGGGAGCGAAAGGGAUUAGAUACCCUAGUAGUC